rnacentral:rRNA from 1 species
UACGGAGGGUGCGAGCGUUGUCCGGAAUCACUGGGCGUAAAGGGCGCGUAGGCGGCCUGGUAAGUAGGGGGUGAAAUCCUGCGGCUUAACCUGGGAACUGCGUCUGAUACUGGAGGGCUUGAGUCCGGUAGGGGACCACGGAAUUCCUGGUGUAGCGGUGAAAUGCGCAGAUAUCAGGAGGAACACCGGUGGCGAAGGCGGUGGUCUGGGCCGGCACUGACGCUGAGGAGCGAAAGCGUGGGUAGCAAACAGG